UGUGCUGGUUUCCCUUCUGAGGCAAGAAAAUACAAAAGAGAUUUGGAUGAACAGGGUUUCUCCAGAAAUGAGAUAAACAGACUACUUUGUAAUUGGUAGUGGGGCUUCCACCUGAUGCUUACAAGCCAUGCCCUACAUCUUGAGGAUAUACAAACACCUGAAAUCUCAAGAUUACCUUUCUUGAAGGAGGAAAAGACUCCAAUGACUGUCUGUCUGUGUGUGGACUUUGGCAGUAUGGCAUGAUCCAUUUGAUCCUUCCAGAAACCAGAGCAAUCUACGAAUUAGAAAAAUUAUGGCUUAUGUUCUUUUGGUGAUCAGUUAGCUCAGAAAGCACCUGAGCUACAUUCCCUGAAGGCUUCAUUCUUGGAGUAGAUGGGAGUUAUCAUCAUCCCUGCCCCCAGCGGAGUUUGAA
rnacentral:lncRNA from 1 species